GCCAGUUUCGCUCUAUCUCUCUCUCAGCCACUGUCGCUCUCUCUCAGCGGCUCUCUCUCAGUCUCUCUCGAUCUCUCUUAGUUUGAUUUGAGAAAAGAUGAGGAAAAGCUGGCUUUCUCUGCACUUUUAAAGCUAUCCAGAUUCCCACAGGUAAAGGUUUCCAGAAUAACUUUUGGCUACUAUUGCUUCCAUCUUGAGUAAGACAAGGCCGUGAUAUUUAUAGGUUGUUGAACUUACUGAAAAUCAACCAACUUAAAUUUCUAUUAGGUUAUUGGAUAGGGCAUAUAAAGCACAAUCAUGAACCCUUGGAUCCUCUGUCAUAUUUCUAUUAGGUUUCCAGAUUUUUCUCACUCAUUCUCUCACUCAGUCUCUCAGUCUCCCUUAGACGGUUUCGCCAUAUCUUUCUCUCAGCCACUCUCGCUCUCUUUCAGUGGCUCUCUCUUAGUCUCUCUCGAUCUCUCUCCGUUUGAUUUGAGGUAUUAAUAUCAGUAAACCCUAAUUAAAAAAUUUAGGGAUUUUACAAUUUUUGUUAAUUCUGCUUAUGUGAUCUGACUUUGUUGUGAUUUUUGGUGGACAGAAUUGAUUUUGGGAUCACAAAAUUGAUUUCUAUGAUUUUGAGGUGCAAAUCUGAUUUGAAUAUGAAACAACUC